rnacentral:rRNA from 1 species
GAGUGAUCGAAAGAUGAAAAGCACUUUGAAAAGAGAGUUAAACACGCACGUGAAAUUGUUGAAAGGGAAGCGCUUGCAACCAGACUCGGCCUCGGGGUUCAGCCAGCAUUCGUGCUGGUGUACUUCCCCGGGGCCGGGCCAGCGUCGGUUUGGGCGGCCGGUCAAAGGCCCCAGGAAUGUAUCGUCCUCCGGGACGUCUUAUAGCCUGGGGUGCAAUGCGGCCAGCCUGGACCGAGGAACGCGCUUCGGCACGGACGCUGGCGUAAUGGUCGCAAACGACCC